GGGGUUGUAGCUCAGUAAUAGAGCGCUUGCCUAGCAUGCAUGACGCACCGGGUUCAAUUCUCAGCACCA
rnacentral:tRNA from 1 species